rnacentral:rRNA from 1 species
CCUACGGGAGGCAGCAGUAGGGAAUUUUGCGCAAUGGGCGAAAGCCUGACGCAGCAACGCCGCGUGAUUGAUUAAGCCCUUCGGGGUGUAAAGAUCUGUCAGUGGGGACGAAACUUGACGGUACCCACAGAGGAAGCACCGGCUAACUCCGUGCCAGCAGCCGCGGUAAUACGGAGGGUGCAAGCGUUGUCCGGAAUCAUUGGGCGUAAAGAGUUCGUAGGUGGCAUAUUAAGUCUGGUGUUAAAUGCAGAAGCUCAACUUCUGUUCGGCACUGGAUACUGGUAAGCUUGAAUGCGGUAGAGGUAAAGGGAAUUCCUGGUGUAGCGGUGAAAUGCGUAGAUAUCGCGCAGAACUCCGAUUGCGAAGGCAGCGUACCGGCGCCAGACUGACGCUGAGGCACGAAAGCGUGGGGAUCGAACAGGAUUAGAUACCCUGGUAGUC